AAAGCUUGCUUACUAAUUAUAUUUUCUCGAAAUUCAUAUUGCUAUUCAAGAAGUUACAAGUACAGUAUAAGGCCCAAAAAAUGCUUGAAAAACCGUAGUAAUCUCAACCCUAGUCAUUUGCCACAAACGGAGUCCAAGUGUUGCCGCAACACCUCUGGCAUGCACGCCUCCAUCAAGGGAGGUCAUGUCACAGUAGAGCCGCAAAAGAAGCGUCGACAGCCACCUUGCAUUCGGGCAGAGAACCAAAGAAGGGUCGGUCGACUUAAACUUGAGUUGAUCCAGCAACCAAAUUUGUUGGGCUUGAGAGUUAACAUCGCAACUGUUCUGGACUCCAUGUUGCGGAGAGUCAGAGACACAAUACUGACGGUACAUAACAUGUACAGGCCCAAUUUUGCCCGAGCCCAGUACACUCAAAGCAGAUCAAGACCAAACUAAAAGUCAAUAAACAGUCCAAAUUACAAAUCAGCAGGCCUAGACCAGCAAAAUAAUAAAACAAGCCCAAAACCUAUAGCCCAAUAUUCAAAAACCCUAGCCCAACACCCAAUAACAGAAAACAACAAUCCCUAACCUUAGGUGCGCCGCACCUAGGGCCUGCUGGUCAACCACCCGCCGCUUUAGCAGCCACCAAAUCCUGCUACCGCCACCUACUCUCUGCCACCGCCGUCGUCCACUUGCCUCAGAGAAA
rnacentral:lncRNA from 1 species